rnacentral:rRNA from 1 species
AUUGAACGCUGGCGGCAUGCCUUACACAUGCAAGUCGAACGGCAGCAUAGGAGCUUGCUCCUGAUGGCGAGUGGCGAACGGGUGAGUAAUAUAUCGGAACGUGCCCUAGAGUGGGGGAUAACUAGUCGAAAGACUAGCUAAUACCGCAUACGAUCUACGGACGAAAGUGGGGGAUCGCAAGACCUCAUGCUCCUGGAGCGGCCGAUAUCUGAUUAGCUAGUUGGUGGGGUAAAAGCCUACCAAGGCAACGAUCAGUAGCUGGUCUGAGAGGACGACCAGCCACACUGGGACUGAGACACGGCCCAGACUCCUACGGGAGGCAGCAGUGGGGAAUUUUGGACAAUGGGGGCAACCCUGAUCCAGCAAUGCCGCGUGAGUGAAGAAGGCCUUCGGGUUGUAAAGCUCUUUUGUCAGGGAAGAAACGGUAGUAGCUAAUAUCUAUUACUAAUGACGGUACCUGAAGAAUAAGCACCGGCUAACUACGUGCCAGCAGCAGCCGCAG